AACGAACGCUGGCGGCAGGCUUAACACAUGCAAGUCGAACGCCCCGCAAGGGGAGUGGCAGACGGGUGAGUAACGCGUGGGAACAUACCCUUUCCUGCGGAAUAGCUCUGGGAAACUGGAAUUAAUACCGCAUACGCCCUACGGGGGAAAGAUUUAUCGGGGAAGGAUUGGCCCGCGUUGGAUUAGCUAGUUGGUGGGGUAAAGGCCCACCAAGGCGACGAUCCAUAGCUGGUCUGAGAGGGUGAUCAGCCACAUUGGGACUGAGACACGGCCCAAACUCCUACGGGAGGCAGCAGUGGGGAAUAUUGGACAAUGGGCGCAAGCCUGAUCCAGCCAUGCCGCGUGAGUGAUGAAGGCCUUAGGGUUGUAAAGCUCUUUCACCGAUGAAGAUAAUGACGGUAGUCGGAGAAGAAGCCCCGGCUAACUUCGUGCCAGCCGCCGCCGUAAUAC
rnacentral:rRNA from 1 species